UCCAUUAUUCUUCCUGCCACGUCCCACGUUCUCUCUCUCCCCAUUUGGUUUGUCCAAAUCGAACCAGUUUGUACUCAAAGCGCAGCCGACAGUCUCCACACCUUCGGCAUGAUUGAAUGCCGAGCUUUCUUCAGCCUUGUAAGUUGUACCUGCUACCCCCGAGUCAUCGACGCCAAGCCUCCACCCUCCGCCACUAUCGUCGUUAUAAGCGUCUCUCUCUUUGUUUCUUGUUUUUUAGUUCCUUUUUUGUUUUUGUUUUUGUUUUUUGCCAUUUACAUUAGGGAAUGAAUUAUGAUUUUGUUAUACAUAGUGAUUAAUUGAAUUUUGAAAUAUUUUGUUUUAAAAUUCUAGUUUAGUACUAUGCGUAAUUGUCGGAAUUCGGUUAUUGCAGCAUUUUUAAUUUUCUGUGGAAGUGGAAGUGGAAAUGGAAAUGAAUCAUAACGUUUAAUAGAAAUAAAUAGAAAUCCCAAAAAUAAUUUCAGCAAAUUCUUCAAAUUAUAAAAUUUAGAAUAGCGUUCAAUAAAUAAUUUUCUCAGUGUGUGUUUUUGUGAGCUUUUGCAUUUCUGUUAGAUCAUGGAGUCAAGAACACAUCUUGAUUAUGCUCUAUUUCAACUUAUUCCGACUAGUACCAAGUACAUUCUGUGAAUCUCCAUUCCAUCACAUACAUAUAAUUUAAUUUGAAUUUGAAUUUGAUAUUGUUAUUCUUAAUAACAUUGGCGAAAAAUAGGUGUGAUCUUGUGAUUUUUGUUGGUAAACAAAAUGAGAAACUAGCGAUAGGUCUGUUGUUUGUGUAUGAAAUUAAGGUUUAUGUUUUGCUAAAAUUAUAUCAUGUAAAAUAUGUGCUUGUCAAAUCUUUGCCUUGUCUUUGUAAAUCUAGUUACGCCGGAGGUUGAGGAAUUUUUGUUGUUGGAAUUCUUAUUAUGAGAAAAGCUUGAGGGAUUAUUAUUGUGAAAAAUGAUUAACUAAUGAAUAAGUAUUGUUUACGAACUAUUCUUGUAGCUAGAUAUUUUAUACACUGACUAGGAGAAGCCUAGGCUGCCUAGCAAAAAUCUCAAAAUUUGACCAUCUAAAGUUUUAAAUUGUGCCCACACUAAAUAAUUUUCGUGGCUCCGUCCUUGUCGAUGUCACUCAUUUUCGAUAAUUUUCCUUUCCUUUCCCUUGUCCUUUUCAUCUAUCGUCGUUUUCUUUUUCUUCCCCACGUUUUACUUUCUUCCCCAGGUUUGGUUUCUUCUUCUCCAUUAGCUUUUCAUAAUAUCUACUCUGUUAUGUUCCACCAAGAAAAUACAAUCUUGUCGCUGCCAAUCAGCCGUAACGAACAAGAAAAUAUAGUUUAUUGAUCUUUAUUUGUUGGGUUAUGAUCGAUUUUUAGGGAAAUAGGAAUUACUGCACAAUCCUUUUUGUAGUUUAGCAUUUGUAUUGUAUUGUAUUGUAUUUUUUUAUAAUGAGCUGUGACUUGCCUGUUCGUUGCAUUUAAUCAAAAUUUGUAAAGUUAUUAAUACAUUACGCCUUAAAAUCUCUUUAGGGUUUAUAUUAACAAGCUAAACAAAUAUUUUAUUUACACUUGACAAUAAAAAUUAUUUCACUUAGCUUUCGAGUCAACACUCAUUCAUUGUCAUCUGAGGUUGUUGCUGUGAUAGGUUAUCUCGAUGCUUUCCUCGGGAUUUUUUAAGUCAAAACCUGAAUACGUGGGAUUUUAUUUUUCUGCAGUCAGUGUUAGUGAAGUUGAAGCAUUAUUUGAGCUGUUUAAGAGAAUUAAUAGUUCUGUAAUGGAUGAUAGGUUAAUGAAUAAGGUAAUUUGCUUUCAACAUUUAUCAAAUCUUCCUUUGUACUUUAAAAAUAUCAUGAUUACACAAUCCUCUGUUUUUCACAUAAAUUAUCUCUUGCUUACGAAUUCUGGUUAUCUGUGGUUAUAGAAAUGCAUAAUUGAUUUGUUUCUUUAGUAUCUUGUUUUAAGACCCGCUUUAAAAAUCUUAAUUGCAUAACUCUUAUGCAGGCUCCAGCCUAUUGCCGGGAUGUGUUUUGGCUUGUGCAAAAUUAGAUAUAUUUAUAUGUCUUUAUCUUUUAGACUUCUAAAGAAAUUUCUUAUUGAGAAACAAUAUUAUCUGAAAUCAUAUUUUAUGCAUUAGUAAUAAAGCACUAGUAUCAAACUCUAAAGUUAACAUAAAGAGAAAUAUGUUUCAAGGAAAAGUUUUGACAUUAUAAUCGAAAUUGUAAUAUUCUAGUCACUUGUCUAUCUGCUUUAUAUCUUAUUUAACUGUUGGAGUCAAUUGAAAAUGUGAACUAUAGUAGAUAAUUGGAACUCUAACGAAUGUUACACAGACACAUGAUCCUUGACCUUUCAAAGAACAAAGUUACACAAACACAUUGAUCCUUGCACUGAAAUUGGAAUGUUAUAACUUCUUAUAACGAAUUUCACCUACGUGUUUUUCAUGUUUUUCUUGUAAUAAGUUUUAUAAGCAAUUUGGAACUAGAUAUAUGUUCUUUUUAUGUUUACUAUAGUAUAUAGACAAUUUCAUUUUGUUUUUGUUUUUGGUUUCAUCUAUCUUCAAAGAGUAAUGCUAUACAAUACCGUAGAUACUAAAACAUACUUUUAUGUGGCAGUACAUGAUAUGUCCAAUAAAUAGGUCUCAUAGCACCACAUUUAAUUGAACUUACAUGUUUAUCCAAAUAUAUAUCACAUAUGAUGACAUUUUAGCAUCAAUGGUGAAAACAUUAUUAAUCUCCAAAUGAGAUUUGACAUCAUGUUAUUGAUAGACUUUAGGAGUGGAUAAAAGUCAUCAAAAUCAUUGGACUAAACUAGAGAAUCGAUCAGUUUAGUGAUGUGGACAAAACCUUGCUUUCACUUACAAUCCAUCUGUUGUAGGUAGUAUUCGUUGCAUUUAGGUGGAAAUCUCGAUUGACACCUUUAUACCUGACAGCAUACUUGUGGAUUUAAUGUUUCGUUCUACUUGAAUAUGGAGUGAAAAUCUUUUGUAUAAUACCUAUGUGGGAAGGAAAAGAAUAGAUCUCCCGACAGUUUAUCUGUCGACAGUUGUUGCUGAACUAUCGUUCUCGACAAUUAACCUCAGUAAUUCUCAACAAAUGAACUUAUCGAUAGAUAAAAUGUUAGGAAUGACAGUUCAGUCCUUGCCUCAACUUAGUGUGUUUUGAAUUAAUUUCGAUCUUAUAUUAGUAAAUUUGUAAAGGUUGACUUGAAGUAAUAUGGGUGAUACUAGUUGUAUGCAUUCGGUGAAAAUCUUGAUCGAUGCUUGACAUAUCUUUUGUUUCAAUGUUUAUGUUACGUGUGUCAAAACCUUACUUUCACUUGCAAUCCACUUGUUGUAUUUGGGUGGAAUUUUUGAUAGACACUUCACAGCAUACUUGUGAUUUUUGGUCUACAUGCGGUUAAAAGUAUUAUAUUAUGGUCUGACGCAUUCAUUUAUUGUUUUGUCUUUACUGACAUGGAUUUCGAGUCUCUUGCUCCGGAGAAUGCACGACUGUGGGGCUACAUAUCACAGAGAAGCAAUCUGCGGUACAUAAAAACAGUCAUCGAGCAUUUUGACAAGCGAUAACAGGCCAACUUCCGCAACUCAUGCCUCAAGUUCUUAGCUGAGGUUCUCGAUCUCCAGUUUUCUACCCAAUUAAUCCAACAGCUCAUGUUUUGAUACAUACAAACAGAUAUUGUUCACUUCACAUGCGGCUACUGUAGACCCCGAGUCUAGAAAAUCGGACGUACAGGGAGGCGACACCGACCCUGACACAUUUUGUGCGGAACCGUAUGCGCAUAAAAUGGAGGAGGCCACCACUCAUCGCUUGACAACCAUGACGAAGAGAUGGGAAUUGACAUGCAAGAGGAGAAUGCAGGCGGAGGCGGCAUGGACCCCAGCCACCCAUACACGACGACGACGAAAAACUUUUGUUGGUUCAAGGGACGGUGGCAACGAGGAAGUUUCCCCAUGCUGGUGUGGAAAAUAUUGAGCAGGACCCAAUUGCUUUCGCUAGCUGCAUGGCGGAGGGGGAUGGUAAGUUUCUUGUGGGAAAACAUUGAUCUGAUUGGUUACGAUCAGUGGUACAAAUUUCGGUUAAACAUUUAGGGCCCUCUGCAAUAUUUUGUAAGUGGUGCGAGUGAAAUGCCGGUGAAUGCCACCACAGCUGUGCCUGGGGAUAAGCCACAUAUCACAAAGAUGCGGCGAUCUGCACGCCUACGAUAUCCUACACCGUCUACUAAGACUCUGUAAACAAGGGGGACUGCAAAGAGAGCGAAAAAAUAAAUUCGUACUUAUGACCUGAACAAGCAACAAAGUGUUGAUCGACACGUUUUUGUUGUAAUGGGAGGUGGAACCAAUCGAUGUCCUUGUCAAAGAAAGAGCGACGUUGACAAUGUUCCACUUCGGGUGACUGGGGAGAAUGUAUGGAGGAACAUUUUGUUUUACAUUAUUGUAUAUUUAUUUUUUGGGAAAUGUUCGUUAUGUUUAAGUGACAUUCACUGUUAAAGAAACUAUAUGG